CCUACAGGUGGCAGCAGUGGGGAAUUUUGGACAAUGGGCGAAAGCCUGAUCCAGCAAUGCCGCGUGUGUGAUGAAGGCCUUCGGGUUGUAAAGCACUUGUGGCGGGAGCGAAAAGGACUGUGCCAAUACCACGGUUCGAUGACGGUACCCGCAGAAUAAGCACCGGCUAACUACGUGCCAGCAGCCGCGGUAAUACGUAGGGUGCAAGCGUUAAUCGGAAUUACUGGGCGUAAAGAGUGCGCAGGCGGUUUUGCAAGACCGAUGUGAAAUCCCCGGGCUUAACCUGGGAACUGCAUUGGGGGCUGCAAGGCUAGAGUGUGUCAGAGGGAGGUGGAAUUCCGCAUGUAGCAGUGCAAUGCGUAGAUAUGCGGAGGAACACCGAUGGCGAAGGCAGCCUCCUGGGAUAACACUGACGCUCAUGCACGAAAGCGUGGGGAGCAAACAGGAUUAGAUACCCUUGUAGUC
rnacentral:rRNA from 1 species